rnacentral:rRNA from 1 species
UACGUAGGGUGCAAGCGUUAUCUGGAUUCACUGGGUUUAAAGGGUGCGUAGGCGGGCAGGUAAGUCAGUGGUGAAAUCUCCGGGCUUAACCCGGAAACUGCCGUUGAUACUAUCUGUCUUGAAUAUCGUGGAGGUAAGCGGAAUAUGUCAUGUAGCGGUGAAAUGCUUAGAUAUGACAUAGAACACCCAUUGCGAAGGCAGCUUACUACACGAUCAUUGACGCUGAGGCACGAAAGCGUGGGGAGCAAACAGG